UUUACGACUGAAGAAGCGGAUAAAGUAGCGGAUGAAGGUCUCUGUAAGCAUCAAAUGUGGAGCAACAACAACACCACCACCACUAUCAAUUUUAGAAAUACGAGUCAACCGGAAUCAGAAAAUUGAGGAAAAAGCAUACUACUUGGUUAAAUUGGAGCAAGUCGAGUGGUAUAAGGUCUGGGUAUUGAAACGCAUGCAGUGAGAUAAUGGUGGCUAAAACGCGAGAUGCUAUUUCAGGAAUAAUAUUCUCUUUAAAUUAAUUGUGAAGGCUUCCACGGUGAUAUAAGAAAAUGAGAUAUUGUGAAUUUAUUUAUGAUUUGGGACUACGAGGCGGUACCUCGGUA